CUGAAACUCUCCCUCCCACGCUGUCCCUGUCUCCUCCCGACAUCGCCGUCGUCGCCCCCGUCCCCGCAGUCGCCCGUGCUCCGCCCGCUCCACCAGGGCGCCUCGCCUUGGGGGACGGUCUCCGACCACUGGCCUCCCUUCACCGCCUACCAGCGACCACAUGCUCAGUGACGCCUAGGUCAUCGGCGCCGAAGUUUGGAGGCCCUGUACGUGCUUCACGUGCGGGUUCUUCAAGAAUGCCUCUGUCACUUCCUCCAUGGCCGAAGUCUGGGAGCGGCAAGGCUAUGCACUCUUUCUCCGAGAAAGAUAUUCUUUCUCCAAUUGCUAAACUUGUACUAAGGGGUGUUGAACAAGGUGUUCUGGACAAAGAAAGCUUGUACCUUAAAAUAGGAGGAUACAAGAAGUUGGAGUGGUUGUCUGAAGGCUUUUGAACUGCUUGAAGCAUUAGUGUAGCUUUGGUGCUUUUGUGAGUGAUCAGCUCUGGAGCAGCUAGAUUGAUGUAGUUGUGGCUUUUGAACUGCUUCAAGCUGGAGUGAUGUCGCUGUGGUUCUUUUGUGACUGAUCAUCUCUGGAG
rnacentral:misc_RNA from 1 species